UAGGGAAUCUUCCACAAUGGACGCAAGUCUGAUGGAGCAACGCCGCGUGAGUGAAGAAGGUUUUCGGAUCGUAAAGCUCUGUUGUUGGUGAAGAAGGAUAGAGGCAGUAACUGGUCUUUAUUUGACGGUAAUCAACCAGAAAGUCACGGCUAACUACGUGCCAGCAGCCGCGGUAAUACGUAGGUGGCAAGCGUUGUCCAGAUUUAUUGGGCGUAAAGCGAGCGCAGGCGGAAUGAUAAGUCUGAUGUGAAAGCCCACGGCUCAACCGUGGAACUGCAUCGGAAACUGUCAUUCUUGAGUGCAGAAGAGGAGAGUGGAAUUCCAUGUGUAGCGGUGGAAUGCGUAGAUAUAUGGAAGAACACCAGUGGCGAAGGCGGCUCUCUGGUCUGCAACUGACGCUGAGGCUCGAAAGCAUGGGUAGCGAACAGG
rnacentral:rRNA from 1 species